UGUUUUUAACAUUUUAAA
rnacentral:sRNA from 1 species